AAACUGGAAUGAAUAAUUGUUUCAAGACUGAAAUUUAUUUCUAUUUUAUCGAACUAAGGAUCUUGACUUCAUAUUCCUUCUAUA
rnacentral:tRNA from 1 species